UCCUCUUGAAUCAUGCAGGCAAACAGAGGGGUCACAUUGAUCUUGCUGAGUCUAAUGACAAGACUGGGGAGCCCAAAAGCUGUACUGACUCUGCAGCCUAACUGGCCCCUGUUCUUCACUGGA